rnacentral:misc_RNA from 1 species
GCCGUGGUUGCGGUGGGAAUAUGGUAUUUCAUGCAGCUUUAAGUGCAUUAGAUUUGGAUUUAAAACCGCUAAAGAUUUCUGGGUUGGUUUUGAACCAACCCAUGUUUGGAGGGAGUGAGAGGAAGAAAUCAGAGCUCAUGUCUGUGGAUGAUCCGGUAUUGCCGAUACAAGCACUGGAUCUCAUGUGGGAACUAUCUUUGCCAGUAGGAACAGAUCGGGACCAUCCGUUUUGUAAUCCUGUAGUAGAAGGUCCACACAAGAGGAAGAUCAGCUCGUUAGGGAGGUGUUUGGUGACAGGAUUCUCAGGGGAUGCCAUGUUUGAUAGGAUGCAGGAUUUGG